rnacentral:rRNA from 1 species
UACGGGGGAUGCGAGCGUUGUCCGGAAUCAUUGGGCGUAAAGAGUUCGUAGGUGGCGGAUCAAGUCUGGUGUUAAAGGCGUGGGCUCAACUCAUGUAUGGCACUGGAUACUGGUUGGCUGGAAUGCGGUAGAGGUAAAGGGAAUUCCUGGUGUAGCGGUGAAAUGCGUAGAUAUCAGGAGGAACAUCGGUGGCGUAAGCGCUUUACUGGGCCGUAAUUGACACUGAGGAACGAAAGCCGGGGUAGCAAAU